rnacentral:lncRNA from 1 species
UCUCACUCAAACCUUAGAAUUUUCUCCACCUCCGAUGGCGGCACUCUGAUGGUCGCCAAAUUAACAACAAGCAGUCCCCUCGAGCUCCUCUUCCCAGAUAUCCAAGCCCCUUCCCUCGAAUAUCAUCAGAACCCUUCAAAUAUUAAUUCUAAGAGACUUGAAUUUUGCCAAAAAACCUUAAUCCCGUGUUUGAGCGAUGAUUAAGACCCAUUUCGGUCAAAAUCAAAAGGUAGAAGAAGGCCUUCGAGACCCAACUCAAGAUGAUGAUUCCAUAUUAGAGCCUAACCGGUGAGAUUCCUUUUAUUUCUUUUAUUUCUCUUUGUUUAUGAGGUUCCUCUUCCCCCAUUUUUAUUUUCUAUUGGUUGAUUUCAAUUGAAAUUCAACCAGUUAUCUGUUAGAAAUUAUCUUCAGCGUUUGUUUUCUCGAAUUGAUUAUUUAAUUAGUCUAGUUAAUUGUGUUAUUUUCAACAUCUUUCUAUUUUAUUUUUAUCAAGUCUCUUCUUCUCCUUCUUCUUUUUUUGUAAUAAAAAGUUUGAGAUGUGAACUAGGUAUUAGUUGAAUUGUUGAUUGUGUUUGAUUUUAGUGCCUGUACUUGUGAAUAUUGUUAGCCAAUCUUAGGAAUAGCUCUAAAUUUUGAACCCCUUAAAUGUGGAUUGUGUUUUGAUUUUCAUAGACAAUAUUAGACUCGAAUUUGAUUAAUUUUAAUUGGAUUCCCUAAUUAGAUUCUUGGCUGAAAAGGCUGUAUUGGAUUUGAAUUAGGCAAUUUUGACCCGUUCACUUGGGUCAUUUGGACCCAAGUUCUUCCUAAUGGUUUUCGAGUUUUGGUUUGGGUUCACUGAGGUAAUUAACAGGGGUAAUCAUAGGGGGUAAUUAGAAUAGUUUAACCUUAGGGAAAUUUAUCAAUAAUGGUAUUAGGGGGUCACCAAGUAAUAAGUAGGGCACUAAUGAGCAAAAGAGGGGUUUUUCUAAAUGGGAUUGAAAAGUUUAAAGAUAACUAAUAGUGGAAGACUACUUUCUGUUUUGAAGGACUAAUUUAAGAAUGAUUAACUAUCCACUAAGGCCUAAAAAUGCGAAAAAUAAUAGAUGAUUGAAAACUUAGAGAGUGGAAUAAAAUAGGGCAUUUCUUUUGAGAGGAGUGAAAAAGACACAUAGAUUGUGAGUUAAGAGAGUUUAGGAAAACAAAGAGAGAUAUAAGGCUUUGAAGGCAUUCAGUUUUGGGAGCUUGAAAAAACACAGAGAGUUUUUGGCAGUUUUUUGAGAGAAGGGUACUGUUCAUUGCUCUUAUACAUUAAAUUUGAGUUCUUCUCUCUUCUAAAUUGCUGGAGCAUUUCCGAAAGUGUGCUGGUUCUAUUUCGUGUGAGUUUAGGGUUUGAAUCAAGUCAUUUGAGGUUCGAUUGAAUUGAUGCUGGGUGAUUCUGUAUGUUGAAUAUGGUCUAUGACUUCCUAGUUUAAUUUCAAAGUAAAGAUAAGGUGUUCUGGUUGUUUUCACUUCUUCUUGGGCCUUUGAACUGUGGUUUAGCCUUGAAUUUGGCUCUGUUUGUUCCUGGUGACUGUCGAUCUACUGUUAUAUUUGUUACUAUUGCUGUUGAUCUUUCUUCUUCUUCCAUUCUAAACUGAUUUCCAGGUACACAGCUUGACUUUGAUAAUUGUGAGUUGAAACUAUGAAGCAUGAAUAUAUGAAGAGUUGAAACAUGUAUUUUCAUUGAGUUUUCUACCUGAUUCAUGUAGCUAAGCACUUAAGUCAAUGAUGUAUAUGUAUUUCACUUUGAUUUUGCAAUAAGUG